GGGUUGGUAAGGGCAAUAUAGUCAACAUCUGUCAUUCCAUUGCUUGUCAGUAUCAUUUUAGCUGAUUUGUCUGACUGGGCAGGUGUCCCCUCUCUCCCUCAGUGCUCCAUGUGCAUCCCUCUUGAAGCUUCGUACUCUGUUGAAGAGGACACUCAUCCCAGGUAGAGAGGUGGGUGGG
rnacentral:snRNA from 1 species